GCGACACCAAGUCCCGAGCGGCGCGCAGCCUCCGCCUCUUACCCGCGCCGCAGGGUCCUCCCCUUGGAGACGCCGCCCGCGCACUGCCGAGGGGAGGGGGCAGCGCCAACAAAUUGGGGAGCUCCUCGGGCGGCGCGCUCAGGUCUCUGCGCAGAGUCACCGCACCCGGGACGGUGAGCAGGGCUCACGCCCGGGCCCUCCGAGACUGAGCACCUCGCCGUGGCCCACGGGAACUGGGCUGCAUUUCCCCGCCGUCUCUGCUGGUCCCCUGCCGCCCCGGGCGCGCCACCAUGGGGCCCCGGCUCAGCGUCUGGCUUCUGCUGCUCUUCGCCGCCCUUCUGCUCCACGAGGAGCGCAGCCGAGCAGCUGCGAAGGGCGAUUGUGGUGGCUCUGGCUGUGGAAAAUGUGACUGUCAUGGCGUGAAGGGACAAAAGGGAGAAAGAGGCUUGCCAGGGUUGCAAGGUGUCAUUGGAUUUCCCGGGAUGCAAGGACCUGAGGGGCCACAUGGACCACCAGGACAAAAGGGUGAUGCUGGAGAACCUGGACUUCCUGGCACAAAAGGGACGAGGGGACCCCCUGGAGCAGCUGGCUACCCUGGGAAUCCCGGACUUCCUGGUAUUCCUGGCCAAGAUGGCCCUCCAGGUCCCCCAGGUAUCCCAGGAUGCAACGGUACAAAGGGAGAGAGAGGGCCGCUCGGUCCUCCUGGCUUGCCUGGAUUCAGCGGCAAUCCUGGACCACCAGGGUUACCAGGAAUGAAGGGAGAUCCUGGUGAAAUUCUCGGCCACGUUCCCGGAACACUGCUGAAAGGGGAGAGAGGAUUUCCUGGUAUCCCCGGGAUGCCGGGCUCACCAGGGUUGCCAGGACUCCAGGGACCCGUGGGUCCUCCGGGAUUUACUGGACCACCGGGUCCUCCAGGCCCUCCUGGACCUCCUGGAGAAAAGGGCCAGAUGGGCUCCAGCUUCCAAGGACCAAAAGGUGACAAGGGAGAGCAAGGGGUCAGCGGUCCCCCGGGAGUUCCUGGACAGGCACAAGUUAAGGAAAAAGGAGACUUUGCCCCAACAGGAGAAAAGGGUCAGAAAGGUGAACCUGGAUUUCCGGGAGUACCAGGAUAUGGAGAGAAAGGUGAACCUGGCAAGCAAGGGCCUCGGGGAAAACCUGGGAAAGACGGUGAAAAAGGAGAAAGGGGGAGCCCGGGCAUUCCUGGCGAUUCCGGGUACCCAGGUCUCCCAGGCCGGCAGGGCCCGCAGGGAGAGAAGGGUGAAGCUGGACUUCCAGGCCCCCCUGGAACUGUGAUAGGCACCAUGCCUUUGGGAGAGAAAGGAGAUCGAGGCUACCCAGGAGCACCAGGGUUGAGAGGAGAGCCCGGCCCUAAAGGUUUCCCUGGAACACCAGGCCAACCAGGCCCUCCAGGUUUCCCUACUCCAGGCCAGGCUGGUGCUCCAGGCUUCCCAGGUGAAAGGGGAGAAAAAGGUGACCAGGGAUUUCCAGGCGUGUCAUUGCCAGGACCAAGUGGAAGAGAUGGAGCCCCGGGGCCUCCCGGCCCUCCCGGCCCCCCUGGGCAGCCAGGCCACACAAAUGGCAUUGUGGAGUGUCAACCUGGACCACCCGGGGACCAGGGCCCUCCUGGGACUCCAGGACAGCCAGGUUUGACAGGUGAAGUUGGACAGAAAGGUCAGAAAGGAGAGAGCUGCCUUGCCUGUGACACAGAAGGACUUCGUGGCCCUCCAGGGCCACAGGGGCCUCCGGGAGAGAUUGGUUUCCCUGGACAACCUGGGGCUAAAGGUGACCGAGGCCUGCCCGGCAGAGAUGGUCUUGAAGGAUUGCCGGGUCCACAAGGUUCACCAGGGCUUAUAGGCCAGCCUGGAGCUAAGGGAGAGCCUGGAGAGAUAUUUUUUGACAUGCGACUCAAAGGUGACAAAGGAGACCCAGGUUUUCCGGGACAGCCUGGCAUGCCAGGAAGAGCAGGAACUCCCGGAAGAGAUGGCCACCCAGGACUCCCUGGACCCAAAGGCUCUCCGGGUUCAAUAGGAUUGAAAGGAGAGCGAGGUCCUCCCGGAGGAGUUGGCUUCCCUGGUAGUCGUGGAGACAUCGGCCCUCCUGGACCCCCAGGAGUUGGCCCCAUUGGUCCUGUUGGUGAAAAAGGACAAGCAGGCUUUCCUGGAGGCCCUGGGUCCCCAGGUCUUCCAGGCCCAAAGGGUGAGGCAGGAAAGGUUGUCCCACUCCCUGGCCCCCCAGGAGCUGCAGGACUUCCAGGAUCCCCUGGCUUCCCAGGGCCACAAGGUGACCGAGGCUUCCCAGGAACCCCAGGACGUCCAGGCAUCCCGGGAGAGAAAGGUGCUGUGGGCCAGCCAGGAAUUGGAUUUCCUGGGCUUCCUGGCCCCAAAGGUGUUGAUGGCUUGCCUGGAGAGAUAGGACGGCCUGGGAGUCCAGGUCGCCCUGGAUUUAACGGCUUACCUGGCAACCCAGGACCUCAAGGUCAAAAGGGAGAACCUGGCAUUGGGCUUCCAGGACUCAAAGGGCAACCAGGCCUUCCAGGCAUUCCCGGUACACCUGGAGAGAAGGGUAGCAUCGGGGGACCCGGCGUUCCAGGAGAACAGGGGUUGACAGGCCCCCCAGGACUCCAGGGGAUCAGAGGUGACCCAGGGCCUCCUGGAGUUCAAGGCCCAGCAGGUCCACCAGGGGUCCCAGGAAUAGGGCCACCCGGAGCUAUGGGCCCUCCCGGAGGGCAAGGACCACCAGGGUCAUCAGGUCCACCUGGAAUUAAAGGAGAGAAAGGGUUCCCUGGAUUCCCCGGACUGGAUAUGCCUGGCCCCAAAGGCGAUAAAGGCUCUCAAGGACUUCCUGGCCUCACAGGACAGUCAGGCCUCCCUGGCCUUCCUGGACAGCAGGGGACACCUGGAGUUCCAGGGUUCCCAGGUUCUAAAGGUGAAAUGGGUGUCAUGGGAACCCCGGGACAACCAGGCUCGCCAGGACCAGCAGGCACCCCAGGGUUACCUGGAGAAAAAGGGGACCAUGGCCUUCCGGGCUCCUCAGGACCCAGGGGCGACCCUGGCUUCAAAGGUGAUAAAGGUGACGUUGGGCUUCCUGGCAUGCCAGGAUCCAUGGAGCAUGUGGACAUGGGGAGCAUGAAGGGACAGAAAGGAGACCAGGGAGAGAAAGGACAAAUCGGACCCACUGGUGAUAAAGGUUCCCGAGGAGACCCUGGAACACCAGGAGUACCUGGGAAGGAUGGGCAGGCAGGGCAUCCCGGACAGCCAGGGCCUAAAGGUGACCCAGGCCUUAGUGGGACACCAGGAUCCCCUGGACUCCCUGGACCCAAAGGAUCAGUUGGAGGAAUGGGCUUGCCAGGUUCGCCUGGAGAAAAAGGUGUGCCUGGCAUCCCUGGCUCACAGGGUGUCCCUGGCUCACCUGGAGAGAAGGGAGCCAAAGGAGAGAAAGGGCAGUCAGGUCUACCUGGCAUUGGGAUUCCGGGACGGCCUGGUGACAAGGGAGACCAGGGCCUUGCUGGCUUCCCAGGCAGCCCCGGUGAGAAGGGAGAGAAAGGCAGUGCCGGAACCCCAGGGAUGCCAGGGUCCCCAGGCCCGAGAGGUUCUCCGGGGAACAUCGGCCAUCCAGGAAGCCCAGGCCUGCCUGGAGAGAAAGGGGAUAAAGGCCUCCCAGGACUGGAUGGCGUUCCUGGUGUCAAAGGAGAAGCAGGUCUCCCUGGGACUCCUGGCCCCACAGGCCCAGCUGGCCAGAAGGGAGAGCCGGGCAGCGAUGGAAUCCCGGGGUCGGCAGGAGAGAAGGGUGAACAAGGUGUUCCAGGAAGAGGCUUCCCCGGCUUCCCUGGCUCCAAAGGAGACAAAGGCUCCAAGGGUGAAGUGGGUUUCCCUGGCCUAGCUGGAAGUCCUGGAAUUCCUGGAGUCAAAGGCGAGCAAGGGUUCAUGGGUCCUCCUGGCCCUCAAGGACAACCUGGCUUACCUGGCACUCCUGGUCACCCUGUGGAGGGGCCCAAAGGAGACCGAGGACCUCAGGGUCAACCUGGCCUGCCAGGGCAUCCGGGACCUAUGGGGCCGCCAGGGUUCCCAGGAAUCAAUGGGCCAAAAGGUGACAAGGGAAAUCAAGGUUGGCCAGGAGCUCCGGGGGUUCCAGGCCCUAAGGGAGACCCAGGAUUCCAAGGCAUGCCGGGCAUUGGCGGCUCUCCAGGGAUCACAGGUUCAAAGGGAGAUAUGGGACUGCCCGGAGUUCCAGGAUUUCAAGGUCAGAAAGGGCUUCCUGGUCUGCAGGGAGUGAAAGGAGACCAGGGAGACCAAGGUGUACCCGGCCCUAAAGGUCUCCAAGGUCCCCCUGGGCCUCCAGGUCCCUACGAUGUCAUCAAAGGAGAACCAGGGCUCCCUGGUCCUGAGGGUCCCCCUGGUCUUAAAGGACUCCAGGGACCACCAGGUCCAAAAGGACAGCAAGGUGUGACAGGCUCAGUGGGCUUGCCUGGACCUCCAGGUGUCCCUGGGUUCGAUGGUGCUCCUGGCCAGAAAGGAGAGACAGGACCCUUUGGACCACCUGGUCCAAGAGGGUUUCCUGGCCCACCAGGCCCCGAUGGGCUGCCAGGAUCCAUGGGUCCCCCAGGUACCCCAUCUGUGGACCAUGGCUUCCUUGUGACCAGGCAUAGUCAGACAACAGAUGACCCACUGUGUCCCCCAGGGACCAAAAUUCUUUACCAUGGAUACUCUCUGCUCUAUGUCCAAGGCAACGAGCGUGCCCACGGGCAGGACUUGGGUACGGCUGGCAGCUGCCUGCGUAAGUUCAGCACCAUGCCCUUUCUCUUCUGCAACAUCAACAACGUCUGCAACUUCGCCUCCAGGAACGACUACUCUUACUGGCUGUCCACGCCAGAGCCCAUGCCCAUGUCCAUGGCACCCAUCUCUGGGGACAACAUCCGGCCCUUCAUUAGCAGCUUUCCUUGGAAAACAGGUAGAAAAUGUUUAUUAUUGAUGUCUCUUGGUUACUUUUGGAAUGGCGUCUAUGCUGGUCUUGACUUGGUUGAAGACACAGGCCCAGGGAAACUGUGUGUCUCAUUCUUUUCUCCAUGGGCAUUUGUCUUCACAAAGUUCCUGUUCUGUGAGCACACCUGAGAUGUAUACCUAAAAUUUGGCAUUUCAGGGUUCUUUAUGUCCCUGCAGCUUGAGGGGCCCUUCAGGUCUCACCCAGCCACACAGGCAUCUCUAAUUCCCUGUUGUAGGGAUGUGGCCUCCUCCCUGGGCUGAGAGUUACUUUAGCUUGAUGGUUUCCAGCAAUGUCUCAGGACUUCCAGGUCCCUUCUCUCCUGUGGGAAGACCCAAAAGCUUAAUUUUAGAAACAUUGACAUAAAUCUUUCCUUUUGAGUUUUGAGCCGAAGAGAUGUCAGCUGCUUUCUUUAUCCUGUUGGCUACAAUUUCUAAGUACUUUCUACAGACAGGAGUGGCCAUAAAGCCACAAUUCCAUCACCUGAGAGAAAUGACCGGUGGUCAGAGCGGAAGGGAAUUUGUGAUGGCCUGGGCUGUGACACUAACCACAGCUGUCCUUCUCUUUGGCCUGCCCCUCCUCUCCCCCCUAGCACCAAAGCAUCCUGGGAAGAAGGGCACUUUAUUUCCCAUGCCUGAAAGGCAGAAGGCAGCAGAUGGACAAGGCCAUUUCAAUUUCAGUGGCUGGUGUUUAAUGGAACCUUUUAGUUCAUCUACAUUUAUGUGACUAAAGUAGAGAGAGUGUGUGUGCAUGCAUACACACACACACACAGACACAUGCACACACAGACAGACAGAAGCACAUACACAUAUGUGUGCAUGUCCACACAGACAGACACACACAGAGACAGACAGACAGACAGACAGACACACACACACACACACACACAUACGCACGCACGAAUGCACAGCACAGAAAAUGGAAUGACUAAUCUAGCCGCCCGCCCACCCACUUCCUGUCCACGCAUGCAGAACUUGUGUAAUUAUUCACACGUUUGUACUCAUUUAGCAGCGUGGCUAACACUCUCUUCACUCUGUGACUGGAAUGUAAUUAUUUUGCUGCUGCUGUUUGUGUUUUUAAGCAGUGCACUCCCCCACCAUCCAGUACUCCCUUACUUGAGUGAGCUUUAGAACACCCGACCACGCUGUGGUUUUCACUCACUCUGGGGUGACUUGUCAUGGCUGGGCUUGAGCUAGCCUGUCCCAGGAGGGACUUUGUCCUCAGGAGGGGCCAGAACAGUGAUUCCCUCUGCCACGGUUAUGACGAUCCCAUUGUUCCUCUUAUAGAAUAGUUUAAAAAAAAAUCAACUGCUUUUGAAUUGAAUGUUUUAGGAGUGAGACGGGCUUGUACAACCAAAGAGGAGUCCCUGAGCCUGAGUCCUGGCACUGGCCACAUUAUUUAUUCACUUAGAUUUGAGCCAGAGAACCAGGGAGAGAGGGCAAGGGAUGGGUCAUCCCCAGGACCAUCCACACGGAAUGCCUGCUUCCUCUCUUCCAGGUGUGCGGUUUGUGAAGCACCGGCCAUGGUGAUGGCGGUACACAGUCAGACCAUUCAGAUUCCGCAGUGCCCUAACGGUUGGUCCUCACUGUGGAUCGGCUAUUCCUUCGUGAUGCACACCAGCGCUGGUGCUGAAGGUUCCGGCCAAGCCCUCGCAUCCCCCGGGUCCUGUCUGGAAGAGUUUAGAAGCGCCCCAUUCAUCGAGUGCCACGGCAGAGGAACGUGCAAUUACUACGCAAAUGCUUACAGCUUUUGGCUCGCCACCAUAGAGAGAAGCGAGAUGUUCAAGAAGCCCACGCCAUCCACCUUGAAGGCAGGGGAGCUGCGAACACACGUCAGCCGCUGCCAAGUGUGCAUGAGAAGAACAUAACUAUGAUGCUCGCCUCUGCCACCGUCACAACAUGGUGCUACUCCCCCCCCUUGUCCUCUUCUCCCUCCCAUUGUAUUUGUAACAGCAAUGAACCCUAGAAUUAUAUCCUGUGUACCUCACUGUCCACUAUGAAAACCAUAAAGUGCCUUAUAGGGAUUCGCGUAACUAACACACCCCGCUUCGUUGGCCUCUGUUUGCUGAAGGAGAAGGACAGGCAGCGGAGAGCUUUCCAUAAUGGCACAUACCAAAUGGCGCUCCUGAUCCAAUAAAAGAUGAAUUGCAUUUUGCAAUCCAGUGCACUGAUGUCUGGGGCGAGAACUCCAUAAGAAACCCAAAGGUGCUAGGGGCGUGAGGCGCUCUCCACACAGCCCACAGCCCGCUUCAUCCUGUCACCCCAGAUGUGAGUGCUGUCCAACCCACUGUCCAGUGUUUCCACAUCAGGUCCCUCGAGGGGCUAUGCAGAGAACAGUCAAGGGAACUGGUUUCUUCCACUUUCUACAUGGAACUCCAUCGUUUCAGCCCCAAACACAAACUUAUGCCCUGUGUGGUACUAUGCAGCUGCUUUUGUGGAAGUCAUGGCUUUCCUGUGGAAUAAAGAUGGUCCAAAGGUUAGAUGGAAAAUAAAUAAAUAAGUAAAUAAAUAUAUAUAUAUAUUAGUAAUUUAUAUAGGUGUCAGCAAUUAGGCAGGUCAAGUUCUAGCGUAGAGCCUGUUGUUAAAUAAAGCGCACUUGGUUUUCGUCUCUGGAGAAACUGUACUAUCCUUUCACAGGGUUACCAACAUCAGGCCACUGAAUGUGAAACACCAGCUUUCCUCAAACUCACUCCUAAACCAGAGGAGGUGUAUAGAUAGCCAAAGCCAAACCCAUUCCUAAACAUGGUGUCUGAUAAUGAGCCCUGUGCCUGGCGCUUCUUGCUUCUGCUCUGCGUGGAGUAUUUUCAGGGUUUGCAACACUAACCACAGACUGAAUGACUGACUUCCCGUACGACAGCCAAGGCCUUUGUUAGCCUCCUUCAUCCUGCAUCCUGGCAGGCAUUUCACACCUGAGCACACACAGGCAACUUCCCAGCUCCUCUCGAGCUGUGACACAGCCCCUGCAGGGAGUGGACAGGUCGCAGGAGGGCAGACUCGGACCACUAUGCUUGAAGUGACAUUUCACUAAAAGUACCCACCCUCCAAAAAAAAAAAAAAAAGUUUUUAAGACUACUAAGGCCUUCUGUGUAAUUUCUUUAAAUGUGUAUUUCUUAAGAAUUCAAAUUUGUAAUAAAACUAUUUGUAUAAAAAUGAAGCUUUUAUGGAUUUGUUGCUAGAAAUGAAACGUUGAAAGAGAAGUUACCACACGUACCACUAAUAAACCUGUAAGCUUUGCUGCA